GCUGACUAUGGGGACUCUGUGUCCCCUGGCAAACUCCGGACCUUCUAUGAAUUGGAGUGGCCCUCUUUUCUAGGAGUUUCCUGGCCUCCGGAGGGCUCUUUGACCUUUCUCUUGUUUACCAGGUCUGGGGAAUUAUCUUCGGAAAUCCAGGACACCCCGACCAGAUUCCUUACAUUCAGGCUUGGAUUGAUCUGGUCCAUGACCCUCUAAAAUGGCUAAAGGCCAGCUGUUCUGGAUGCCGUUCACGGUCGGCUGGUCAAACCCCCACGGUUGCGUGGGCUACCCCAGCCAACAAGAAGCGUCCUCAGACCUGACCCGACAAGAAUAUGUUUUCCCUCUGACUCAACCCGCUUGGGACCCCAACUCCAAUCAAGGUAAGGAGGCUCUUGAUCGGUAUCGCCAGCUUCUUUUAGGGGCUAUGAAGGCAGCAGCUAGAAAGCCUACUAAUUUAUCUGGUCACUAAGGUUACUCAGGGAUCUGAGGAGUCUCCUGCUGCCUUCCUUGAACACCUCUAAGAGGCUUACCCGAUCUACACUCCUAUAGAUCCUGAGGCUCCUGAGAACCGAAGGGCCAUAAAUAUUGCCUUCAUGUCUCAAUCAGCCCCAGAUAUCAGAAAGAAACUCCAAAGGAUGGAAGGAUUUGAGGGAAAAGCGUUAACAGAGUUGGUAGAAAUAGCACAAAAGGUAUUUAACAAUAGAGAAGAUCCGAGAGAACUAAAUAAACGUAUGGCCAAGGUCCUCACAGCAAUGGGAGAAAAAGAUGGAUCAACAACUAAAAAGACCCUGGCCCCCCCAGACUAAACAAAAGAGGUUAGCCCUCGGCAAAAAUCAGUGUGCCUAUUGCAAGGAGGAAGGACAUUGGAAAAAUAAGUGCCCAAAGUGAAAGCAAAAGGAAAGUAAGAGCCAGGUUCUGACAGCUGCUCCUGAAACAGACUGAAGGAAUCAGAGCUCUUCUCUCGGCCCUCGGGACCCCAAAGUAACUCUACAAGUAGGGGGCCAACCGGUCGAUUUUCUAAUCAACACAGGGGCCACCUAUUUGGUUUUACAGCAACCUGCGGGCCCCCUGUCAAAAACAAAGACCCACAUCCAAGGGGCCACGGGGAAUACUAAAUUGUACCCUUGGACUAAAACUAGAAUCGGGAAUCUGGGGGCUAAACAGGUGACUCAUUCCUUUCUUGUCAUGCCUGAAUACCCUUACCCUUUGAUCGGCUGGGACUUGCUUUAUAAUUUACAGGCUCAAAUUUCUUUUGGGGAGGACUCUACCCAAAUAACCUUUGCUGCUAAACCUGAAUUUGACCCCCGGCCCCCGACGAUUCUUUUCAUGUGUCCCCUGAUGGAGGAACAUUUAUUGCUGACGGAGGAGGAACCUCAACCCAGUUCUAAUGCCCUGCUUUCAGCCUGGAAGACGGAGAUUCAUGGGGUCUGGGCAGAAAUCAACCCCUCUGGGUUGACAAUUCAACCCCCCAUUGUGGUAUCUCUAGUGCCAGGGGCAACUCCAAUCCGUGUCUGUCAGUACCCAUUAAGUUCACAGGCACAGCUGAGGAUCAAUGUUCACAUCCAAAGACUCAAAAGGGAGGGCAUACUGGUACCUUGCAAGUUGGCAUCGAACACUCCACUGCUGCUGGUUCAAAAGCCAGGAACUACAGACUACCGGCCAGUCCAGGUCUUAAGAGAGGUAAAUAGCCGAGUGGAAACCCUUCAUCCCACAGUCCCCAACCCAUACACCCUCCUGAGUCUUCUCCCUCUGAGCUGAAUCUUCUACACUGUGCUGGACCUCAAGGAUGCCUUCUUCACUCUUCCUCUGGCUCCGGAUGAGGAUGAUGAUCCUGAGCUGCCAGUACAUGACUGCAUGGACAUUUUAAACGUCUCAUCUAGCUUGAGAAGUAACUUGACUGAUGUCCUCCUCCAAGAUCUGGACAUCACGCUCUAUACUGAUGGAUGCAGCUAUGUCCAGGAUGGAGUCAGGUAUGCGGGGGCAGCUGUGGUCACCGAAAAGGAAGUGAUCUGGGCACAAGCCUUGGGUCAUGGAACCUCAGCCCAGCGGGCUGAACUGAUAGCGCUGACCCAAUCCCUGUGAUGGGGGUAAAAGCAGAAGACUAAACAUCUACACUGAUGGUAGAUAUGCCUUUGCCACCCUUCAUGUACCUGGGGCCAUAUAUCAAGAAAGAGGACUCCUAACCAAGGGAAGACAAAAGAUUAAAAACACUCAAGAAAUUUUAGACUUAUUGGCUGCAGUCUGGUUGCCUCGACAAGUAGCGGUUAUACACUAUCAAGGACACCAAAAAGAUGACUCCCAGGUGGCCCAAGGAAAUACCCUGGUGGACUCUACGGCCUGAAAAGUAGCAAGAAAACCAGUGGGAUCACUAGAGAUCCUGCCGGUUCUGCCACCCGGAUUUUAGACAAACCAUCUUAUUCAGGUUCAGACCUCCUGGUGGCACAAAGUCUUUGGGCCUCCCGGACUUCUUCCGGUUGACAAAAAUUGCCAGACUCCUGGACCCUCCUCUCUGAGGUGCUUGGCCGUGAACUGGUACAUUUACUUUAUCACACUACUCACUUAAAUAAAUUGUCUGAAAUCAUACUUCAUUCCAAAACUAAACCAACUGGCCAAGGACAUAAGUCAGAAGAGCCCACAAUGUGCUCAGGUAAAUCCAAAAAGAAAUCUACCAGAGAUCCACCAUCGAGCCAGAGGUACGUCACCUGGGGAACACUGGGAAAUAGAUUUCACAGAGGUGAAAUCUGGGCCAAACCGACUCAGGUAUUCGCUAGUGCUGGUGGACUCUUUCACAGGAUGGCCAGAAAUCUUCACCACAGGGUCUGAGUCUGCCCUGAAACUUGUUAAAAAAAAAACUCCUAUCUGAGAUAGUCCCACAAUUUGGUCAUCCCUUAACUCUGGGGUCUGGUAACAGUCUGGCUUUUUUUUUUUUUUUUCAGUCCGGCUUUUAUAGCCCAGAUUACAAAGCUUGUUUCACAGGCUUUACACAUUAAUUGGAAGUUACUCUGUGCCUAUCAGCCACAAAGUUCUGGCCAGGCAGAAAGGAUGAACCAAACUUUAAAGGAGGCUAUUGCCAAGAUAGGGUUAGAAACUGGCGAAAACUGGGUGAGUC